rnacentral:rRNA from 1 species
GAUGAACGCUGGCGGCGUGCUUAACACAUGCAAGUCGAGCGAGUGAGUUCUUCGGAACGAUCUAGCGGCGGACGGGUGAGUAACACGUGGGCAACCUGCCUCAUAGAGGGGAAUAGCCUUCAGAAAGGAAGAUUAAUACCGCAUAACAUCGUUGAAGGGCAUCCUUCGAUGAUCAAAGGAGCAAUCCGCUAUGAGAUGGGCCCGCGGCGCAUUAGCUAGCUGGUGAGGUAACGGCUCACCAAGGCGACGAUGCGUAGCCGACCUGAGAGGGGGAUCGGCCACAUUGGGACUGAGACACGGCCCAGACUCCUACGGGAGGCAGCAGUGGGGAAUAUUGCACAAUGGGGGAAACCCUGAUGCAGCAACGCCGCGUGAGUGAUGAUGGCCUUCGGGUUGUAAAGCUCUGACUUUGGGGACGAUAUGACGGUACCCAAGGAGGAAGUCACGGCUAACUACGUGCCAGCAGCCGCAGUAAAAC